ACCUCAUUGGCUCAGUGGCAGAGCGUCUGUCUAGUAAACAGAAGGUUCGAUUCCAGCAUGAGGCA
rnacentral:tRNA from 1 species